UACCAGCACCCCCGAGUGGUCGGGACGAUUAUUGGGGCCUAAAGCAUCCGUAGCCGGCCUUACAAGUCCUCCGUUAAAUCCAGCUGCUUAACAGAUGGGCUGCGGAGGAUACUAUAAGACUAGGAGGCAGGAGAGGCAAGCGGUACUCAGUGGGUAGGGGGUAAAAAUCCGUUGAUCCAUUGAAGACCACCAGUGGCGAAGGCGGCUUGCCAGAAUGCGCUCGACGGUGAGGGAUGAAAGCUGGGGGGAGCAAACCGG
rnacentral:rRNA from 1 species